rnacentral:lncRNA from 1 species
CUCGUGUCAACGCAAAACCAGGACAAGCAGAAUAAACAAAGAGAUGCUGGCAGAAGGCUGGGUGUGUCGCCUCAGGUCUACAGAUGUGCUGGGGCCACACUGAGGAAGGCCCUCGUGUGCAUGCAGGGCGCUGGCCGGAGCGCCUUAGGACGCAUCUGAAAACUUCUCAUUGCCUCAGGGUUUAAAAUAGCCACACUUCCUGCUCCUCGGAGAGGGUAUGCACAGAAUGUGGGUGACUCACCGUCGGUGGUUUUCGAUGUGUCUGUCAUAAGGAGGUAUCAUCAAAAGCCCGGCCUGUUUCAGAUGUUAUUUUUUUCCACCCUCAGCCAUGCGGUGCUGGGAGAGCAGAAUGCCUAAACCCAGUGUUUGUUUUGAGCGCAGAAAGUGAAGACCAAAUCAAUUGUGCCGCAGCAAGUAAAAACUGAAUGCGUGAGGGGGAAAAAACCUGCAAACAGUGUGAAGACUGAGUUUCAAGGUUCUUGUUUUCAAAAAGUUUAAUUAUAUUUCAACUAAAGCCAAACUGUCAAAACAUGGGAGAGUGAUCUGCCUGCUUUGAAAAUGCAUUAGCCUUCUUAUGUAAAAGCCAAUAAUUGAUAUCCAAGAGGAAACCAGAGCUGUGGGGGUCGGAGGAAGAAGGAAGACAGCCUCUUAGAACUGCUCAAACGACACUUCCCUAUCAACUACGUGCAAAGCUUUAGAUCCAGACUCCACUCAGCCACUUCCUCCAAAAAUGGACCGUCGGUGGUUAAGUCUUUGCCCUCUUCAUCUCAGUUCCCAUUCCUGCCUCUCCUUCAGUAAUCUCCUAGAACUUUCUAGUUUCUAGCACAGAGAUUCUUAAUCGUGUUCUUUUGAUGGCUGAGAAGUAUGUGUAUUCUUAAACCACUCUCAGAUUAAAUUAAGCUUGCACUACAUAAAAAAUAUUGAUGGAAGCCAUAUAACACAUAUUUGGGAUAGAGCUAGAGCAGGCAUCGAACAGAUCAUACCAGUUGGAAUACGGUAUCAAAGAGCUGGGAAUUCCCGGCCUACAGCCUGGGUCCGGGAAGGCAGCCGCCAUUUUCUUCCUUCUUGGG